rnacentral:rRNA from 3 species
UUGAGAGUUUGAUCCUGGCUCAGGACGAACGCUGGCGGCGUGCUUUAGGUAUGCAAAUCUAACGGAUCUGUACUUCGGACAGGAAUUUUUCCAGCCCGGGGGGCGGGUCAGUGGUGAACGGCUGAGUAACGCGUAGGAAUCUACCCACAAGAUGUGAAUAACCCCGAGAAAUCGGGGCUAAUACACAAUAGUUUCCGAUUUAAUCGGAAUAAAGGUUGUAGCAAUACUUCCGCUUGUGGAGGAGCCUGCGUCCCAUCAGCUAGUUGGCGGGGUAAAAGCCCACCAAGGCAAUGACGGGUAGGGGGCGUGAGAGCGCGACCCCCCAGAGGGGCACUGAUACACGGGCCUCACUCCUACGGGAGGCAGCAAUCUGGAAUAGUCGGCAAUGGGCGAAAGCCCGACCGCGCGACGCCGCGUGGAGGACGAAGCUCUUCGGAGUGUAAACUCACAUCAAAAAGGAGCGGCUAACUUCGUGCCAGCAGCAGCGGUAAUACGGAGGCUUCAAGCGUUGUCCGGAUUUAUUGGGCGUAAAGUGUCUUAAGGCGGUUUGUUAAGUUUCUGGUUAAAUCUCUCGGCCCAACCGAGAAACCGCCAAAAAUACUAACAAACUAGAGAUUAGCAGGGGUAAGCGGAACGCACGGUGUAGUAGUGAAAUGCGUUGAUAUCGUGCGGAACACCAAGGGGGAAGCCAGCUUACUGGGCUUAUACUGACGCUGAUAGACGAAAGCGUGGGCAGAAAAACGGAUUAGAUACCCGUGUAUUCCACGCUGUAAACGAUCCUUGCUAGAUAGUUGUUCCGAUUUAUCGGAGUGGCUGUCGCAGCUAACGCAUUAAGCAAGGCGCCUGGGAACUACGGCCGCAAGGCUAAAACUCAAAGGAAUUGGCGGGGAGAUGCACAAGCGGUGGAGCAUGUGGUUUAAUUGGAUGAUGACCCAGGAACCUUACCCAGGUUUGACAUGCAGCUGCAAAUCCCGUGAAAGCGGGACUUCUUCGAGAGUGCUGCACAGGUGUUGCAUGGCUGUCGUCAGCUCGUGCCGUGAGGUGUACGGUUAAGUCCGUCAACGAGCGCAACCCCUACUCUGAUUUGUAUCACUAUCAGAGAACUGCCCCUGUAAGGGGGAGGAAGGUGGGGACGACGUCAAGUCGGCAUGGCCCUUAUGCCUGGGGCUACACACAUGCUACAAUGGCCAGUACAAAGGGUUGCAACCUCGCGAGAGGUAGCUAAUCUCAUCAAAGCUGGUCUCAAUUCGGAUUGAAGGCUGCAACUCGCCUUCAUGAAGCUGGAAUCGCUAGUAAUCGCCGGUCAGCUAUACGGCGGUGAAUAUGUUCUCAUCUCUUGCACACACCGCCCGUCAAUUGGGGGAAGCUGGAAACACCUGAAGGCUGUGUUUUACACGGACCAAGGUGGAGUCAGUAACCAACAAUAAGUCGUAACAAGGUAGCCGUAGGGGAAUCUGCGGCUGGAUCACCUCCUUUCUAAGGAGUAA